rnacentral:rRNA from 1 species
AUUGAACGCUGGCGGAAUGCUUUACACAUGCAAGUCGAACGGCAGCACGGACUUCGGUCUGGUGGCGAGUGGCGAACGGGUGAGUAAUACAUCGGAACGUGCCCAGUCGUGGGGGAUAACGUAGUGAAAGCUACGCUAAUACCGCAUACGAUCUAAGGAUGAAAGCGGGGGAUCGCAAGACCUCGCGCGAUUGGAGCGGCCGAUGGCAGAUUAGGUAGUUGGUGGGGUAAAGGCUCACCAAGCCGACGAUCUGUAGCUGGUCUGAGAGGACGACCAGCCACACUGGGACUGAGACACGGCCCAGACUCCUACGGGAGGCAGCAGUGGGGAAUUUUGGACAAUGGGCGCAAGCCUGAUCCAGCCAUUCCGCGUGCAGGAUGAAGGCCCUCGGGUUGUAAACUGCUUUUGUACGGAACGAAAAGGCUCUGGUUAAUACCUGGGGCUCAUGGCGGUACCGUAAGAAUAAGCACCGGCUAACCACGUGCCAGCCGCCGCAGUAA